GAUGAACGCUGGCGGCGUGCCUAAUACAUGCAAGUCGAGCGAACAGAUGAGAAGCUUGCUUCUCUGAUGUUAGCGGCGGACGGGUGAGUAACACGUGGGUAACCUACCUAUAAGACUGGGAUAACUCCGGGAAACCGGGGCUAAUACCGGACAAUAUUUUGAACCGCAUGGUUCAAUAGUGAAAGACGGUUUCGGCUGUCACUUAUAGAUGGACCCGCGCCGUAUUAGCUAGUUGGUAAGGUAACGGCUUACCAAGGCGACGAUACGUAGCCGACCUGAGAGGGUGAUCGGCCACACUGGAACUGAGACGCGGUCCAGACUCCUACGGGAGGCAGCAGUAGGGAAUCUUCCGCAAUGGGCGAAAGCCUGACGGAGCAACGCCGCGUGAGUGAUGAAGGUCUUCGGAUCGUAAAACUCUGUUGUUAGGGAAGAACAAAUUUGUUAAUAACUGAACAAGUCUUGACGGUACCUAACCAGAAAGCCACGGCUAACUACGUGCCAGCAGCCGCGGUAA
rnacentral:rRNA from 1 species